GCAUCGGUGGUUCAGUGGUAGAAUGCUCGCUUGCCACGCGGGCAGCCUGGGUUCAAUUCCCGGCCGAUGCA
rnacentral:tRNA from 1 species